rnacentral:rRNA from 1 species
GUCGAACGCUGGCGGCGUGCUUAACACAUGCAAGUCGAGCGGAGCGGCGAACGGGUGAGCAACGCGUGAGUAACUGCACCCCUCUCUGGGAUAACAGUUGGAAACGGGUGCUAAUAGCGGAUAGUGGGGGAUGAAUCGGGUCCUAUCAGCUUGUUGGUGGGGUAGUGGCCUACCAAGGCGAAGACGGGUAGCCGGCCUGCGAGGGCGACCGGCCCCAUGGGGUAGGGAUACGACCCAUACGCCUACGGGAAGCAGCGGUGGGAACUAUUGCACAACGGGGGAAACGCUGAUGCAGCAACGCCGCGUGCGGGAUGACGGCCAUCGAGUUGUAAGCCGCUUUCAGCAAUGACGCGGUAGUGGCAGAGGAAGCACCGGCUAACUACGUGCAAGCAGCCGCGUAAUAC